rnacentral:sRNA from 2 species
CUCAGUUGGCAAGAUAGUAGCUUUUAAUCAAUUGGUUAAAGGUUCGAGCCGAGCGAAGCGAGACAGCAACGCGCAGCGUUGACCCGAAGGGCGAAUCCGCAGGAUGAGUAAUCCCGCAUAAUUCGCGU